rnacentral:rRNA from 1 species
GAUGAACGCUGGCGGCGUGCCUAAUACAUGCAAGUCGAGCGAACAGACGAGGAGCUUGCUCCUUUGACGUUAGCGGCGGACGGGUGAGUAACACGUGGGUAACCUACCUAUAAGACUGGGAUAACUUCGGGAAACCGGAGCUAAUACCGGAUAAUAUUUCGAACCGCAUGGUUCGAUAGUGAAAGAUGGCUUUGCUAUCACUUAUAGAUGGACCUACGCCGUAUUAGCUAGUUGGUAAGGUAACGGCUUACCAAGGCAACGAUACGUAGCCGACCUGAGAGGGUGAUCGGCCACACUGGAACUGAGACACGGUCCAGACUCCUACGGGAGGCAGCAGUAGGGAAUCUUCCGCAAUGGGCGAAAGCCUGACGGAGCAACGCCGCGUGAGUGAUGAAGGUCUUCGGAUCGUAAAACUCUGUUAUUAGGGAAGAACAAACGUGUAAGUAACUGUGCACGUCUUGACGGUACCUAAUCAGAAAGCCACGGCUAACUACGUG